rnacentral:lncRNA from 1 species
CUGUAUUAAAUACCUGGUGGCUAUAUGAUUGGAGAAAGUAAACUAGGGCCUCUUCGGAUGCAUCUAGUAAGAGGAAUCCAGUAGAAAGGCACUGAAUCUUGGCUGAAGUCCCAUAGGUUUUUUUUUAAUAGAUGUGAAUAGUUUUUAUAAAAGACUGAAAAUGGAGGUUAAUAUACCUAUUGUUUGCUAAUUUUUCAUAAAAUACACUGAUGUUAUUUUUAUGUUCAAGCUGUUUCUCAGCUGGAUUACUAACCAAAAGUUACCACGUUAUGUGGUACCACACCACACUUUGUGACAAAUAGUUUUAAAAAUAACACGCAACAACUAUGGCUGUUAUGCUUUUAAUGGAAGCAGAUACAAAAUUCAUCAAUGCAAAAGAAUGUUUUACAUACUCAUUAACAUAGUGAUUAAUGUAAAUUAUAUUUUGACUUGUAAAAUACAGUGUGUUUGGCCUCAAGAAACUACAGAGCUGCAACUCAAGAUAACUGGAAAGGCUCCUUACAUUGUUUUUGCCCACCACCUUUAUAUAAUACUCCUAAAUGAUAUCUGGGGAGGGAAUUAAAAAAUAAUACAAAGCUCUUUUCAGCUGUGGUUCAAAGAACUCUAGUGAAGCUGUAUGGCAAUGACAUUUUGGGACCAUGAAGUUUCCCCAGAAGUAUUUCCGGUAAGAGGCAGUUAAGAAGCUUAAUAGUUUCAAAGUCUGGAAAGCAGCAAAGAUAUCUUAGAGAAAACAUUAUAAACCCCACUUCUCUCCUACACAGACAUUUUAAAGCAUGGACGUAACUUUAAGGAGACUGAGAAAACAUCAGUAGUUUUCACAAAGCUUCAAUGAACA